GUGCCAGCAGCCGCGGUAAUACGUAGGGGGCAAGCGUUGUCCGGAUUUAUUGGGCGUAAAGCGCGCGCAGGUGGUUUCUUAAGUCUGAUGUGAAAGCCCACGGCUCAACCGUGGAGGGUCAUUGGAAACUGGGGGACUUGAGUACAGAAGAGGAAAGUGGAAUUCCAUGUGUAGCGGUGAAAUGCGUAGAGAUGUGGAGGAACACCAGUGGCGAAGGCGACUUUCUGGUCUGUAACUGACGCUGAGGCGCGAAAGCGUGGGGAGCAAACAGGAUUAGAUACCCCCGUAGUCC
rnacentral:rRNA from 1 species